GACGAACGCUGGCGGCGUGCCUAAUACAUGCAAGUCGAGCGAGACUCUUCGGAGUCUAGCGGCGGACGGGUGAGUAACACGUGGGCAACCUGCCUGUAAGACUGGGAUAACACCGGGAAACCGGUGCUAAUACCGGAUAAGCCCACGGAGACCUUGGUCUUUGCGGGAAAGGGGGGGACCUUCGGGCCUUCCGUCAUCAGAUGAGUCUGCGUACCAUUAGCUAGUUGGUAGGGUAAAGGCCUACCAAGGCGACGAUGGUUAGCUGGUCUGAGAGGAUGAUCAGCCACACUGGAACUGAGACACGGUCCAGACUCCUACGGGAGGCAGCAGUGGGGAAUUUUGCGCAAUGGGGGAAACCCUGACGCAGCAACGCCGCGUGAGUGAUGAAGGCUCUUGGGUCGUAAAGCUCUGACAGAGGGAAAGAAGUGUAUGGUGGUUAAUACCCAUUGUACUUGACGGUACCCUCAAAGGAAGCACCGGCUAACUCCGUGCCAGCAGCCGCCGUAACAC
rnacentral:rRNA from 1 species